rnacentral:lncRNA from 1 species
CCUUAGUUCUGUAGAUGAAUCUCGUCUGGUCUUUGUACCAGAUACCAUCCCCAGCUCUCUGACUCUGGAGGAACCCUUCUGUUGGUGCAGAAUUCCACCGACACCGAAGAAGCUGGAGUUGAGAUGACCGCGGCCGCCGUCAGGACCUGCAAAGGAAGUCUAAACUGAAGUUGGGGGUGCUCUGGCAAGACCCUCCGAC